AUUUAGGUUCAGUAACUCUCCCCUCCAUAUUCAGGUUCAGUAACUCUCCCCUCCAUAUUCAGGUUCAGUAACUCUCCCCUCCAUAUUCAGGUUCAGUAACUCUCCCCUCCAUAUUUAGGUUCAGUAACUCUCCCCUCCAUAUUCAGGUUCAGUAACUCUCCCCUCCAUAUUCAGGUUCAGUAACUCUCCCCUCCAUAUUCAGGUUCAGUAACUCUCCCCUCCAUAUUCAGGGUCUCAGCCCCCUCCAUAUUUAGGUUCAGUAACUCCCCCCUCCAUAUUCAGGUUCAGUAACUCUCCCCUCCAUAUUCAGGUUCAGUAACUCUCCCCUCCAUAUUCAGGUUCAGUAACUCUCCCCUCCAUAUUCAGGUUCAGUAACUCUCCCCUCCAUAUUCAGGUUCAGUAA